GGAAUCUAUAGUGAGUAGAAACAGGGACUCGCUGGUUUCAGAUGAACCAAUUAAAAGCCAGCAAGUUGAGCAGAGUACCCAGUCCACAUAUGACAGCAUGAAUGAUGAGUCUGAUCUCAAUAGCGCCCUCUAUGAUAGUGUCAGGAAUGCAGUUGAAGCAUUGAAUAGUAACAGUAAAGAGAAUUGCUAUGAAGGAGACAAUUGAGGCAGAUUUUAUGCCACCAAAUCCUCCUAGUAGCCUUCAACAAGACAGAAGCCCUAGUGGGUCACAGGCUUAGCGAUGAAGCCACAGACACACCCGAAGCUCACUAUUCAACAUCAAUGAUGAAAGAUACGACCAGCAUUGGAAGAGCUGCAGUCCUGUGAUGAUCCAAAUGGGCAACAGUUGGCUGGCGGUAAAUGACAUUUAGUCUUUAAGUGGACAGAUGAAAAAUUUGAAAAAGUCAACUACUGCCGCUAUAGUCAUUUGAAAGGAAUUACUAUGAAGAAGAUGAGACAAUUUAUGCCACUAAAUCCACCCAGCAGCCCUCAGCAAGGCAGAAACCCUUGGGGGUCACACAUAGGCUUAGCCUAGUGAGCCUUGGACACCCGCGCAUAGUGGUUCCAGGAUUUCCAAGUUCAAAUAUCUUAUUGAUUUCUACUUGUAUGUUAAUAUGAAAGAAAUGGUCUUCAAUGGAGAAUUUGGUUACUGGAAACCAAAAAGAACAAUUGGAGACAGAUGCUCAGUAUUCAACGUCAAUAAUGCAAGACCACGACCAUCAUCAGAAGAGCAGCAGUCCUGUAAUGAUCCAAAUGGGCAACAAUUGGCUGACUUGGGGUCAUGACCUCCACUACAUAACUAAAAAAGACUAAUCAAAUGAAGCUUAUUCACACACUGUGUUGGAAGCAAUGUUUACAAGGGCGCCCUCAGUCA